CCCGCACAAGCGGUGAGCAUGUGGUUUAAUUCGAUGCAACGCGAAGAACCUUACCUGGGCUUGACAUCCCGGGAAUCUUCUGGAAACAGAAGAGUGCCUUUCGGGGAACCCGGAGACAGGUGCUGCAUGGCUGUCGUCAGCUCGUGUCGUGAGAUGUUGGGUUAAGUCCCGCAACGAGCGCAACCCUUGUCUUUAAUUGCCAUCAUUAAGUUGGGCACUUUAAAGAGACUGCCGGUGUUAAGCCGGAGGAAGUGGGGAUGACGUCAAGUCCUCAUGGCCUUUAUGCCCAGGGCUACACACGUGCUACAAUGGGCGGUACAAAGAGAUGCAAUCUCGUGAGGGUAAGCAAAUCUCAAAAAGCCGUUCUCAGUUCGGAUUGGAGUCUGCAACUCGACUCCAUGAAGUUGGAAUCGCCUAGUAAUCGCGUAUCAGCAUGACGCGGUGAAUACGUUCCCGGGCCUU
rnacentral:rRNA from 1 species